CUUCUGCCGUUCCCCCUCUCUCUCUAUGUGGGAUGGAAAUUUCAAAAAGUAAUCAAAUCUUCAGGUAUUUCUUAAACACUAAUAAUCUUUCACAACACUCUAUUCUCUUGAUCUCUGAUUUCUAUUCCCAUUUCAAUACUUUAAUCCCAACCAUAAACCCUAGUUCUGUUUUCUUAAUGGUGGCUACAAUCUCACGUCUCAUCCAGAGAAAAUUUAAUCACACUGUCUACUUAUUUCAAUCAAUUUCAUUGUCAUCUGCUGCUCAAAGAACCACCGGUAAAUGUAGAUACUCUAAUAUCUUAAAUCUUGAUUUGUUAUUCUGCCCCAUUUUUCGUCGAUUUUUUACGGAUGAUUCUUUGGGGUCGUCGUCUAACCGGCGAUUGGUUUCGAAACAAGAGUAUGAAUUAGAGGAGUUAGAUAUUGGUGUUAAUCUUAAAUUUGGAUUAGAUAGAAGAAGAAAUGAGGCGAAGGAAAAGAAGGUUGUUCAAAUUGUAGAGUUGAUAAAAAGAGAUGAAAAUGAUUUGGGGAAUAAGAUUAAUCUGAUGGAUGUGAAUAUCUCUAUUGAUUUAGUUAGGGAUGUUUUUCGGCGCUUGAAUUAUGAUGGAGUAUCAGGUUUGCAUUUCUUUUGCUGGCUUAACGAGACACAUAUUGAUUUUAAGAGGAGUUCUGUGUUUUGUAGUAUGAUUAUUGAUAAUCUAGGUAGAAUAGAGGAUUAUGAAUCGAUGGUGCUUCUAUUUAAGGAUUUUUCUAGAAAAGGAAUUUGUUUAUCUGAAAAUGCAUCUGCGUUUCUAGCUGACUCUUUAGAGGAUGAAUUUAAAGGUGGGGAUAAUGUGAGAAAAAUUGUUGAAUUAUUAAAUGAAGCUGGGGGUUCGGCUGGGAGUUCUGGGAUAUUUUAUUUGAUUAAGAUGUUAUGUAUAUUGAAAGCUUUCGAUUUGGCUGUCUUUGUGAUGGAGGAAACAGCAAGGAGGACUUCUUAUUACAAUGUUCUCGUCUGGGCCAAGUGUCGUGGUAGUGAGUUUCAAGAAGCGAGGGAGUUGUUUGGUGAGAUGAAGAGAUUUGGUUGUUACCCGAAUUCCAAUACUUACAAUUAUUUGCUUGGUAGCCUCUGCAAGGAUGGAAGAAUUGGCGAAGCUUGUGGCUUGGUUGAGGUAAUGAAUGAAUUGGGGUAUAUGCCUGAUGCUAUUACCUUUGAGAUAUUCAUCUUUCAUGCCUGUCGACAAGAUAGGUUGGAUUUUGCAAUGGAAUUCCUUAAUCAGAUGAUUUCUGGAGGUCUUGAACCCCGGCUAACGACGCAUGCAGCUUUCAUCAAGGGUUACUUCAACUCUAACAGAUUCCAGGAAGCAUAUAAAUUCGUUGUUGAUAUGGCUGUGAAGUAUAAGUACUCUGCUAAUGUGAAUUAUAGUUUGCUUGCAAGCCUUCAUCAUAAAAAGGGAAAGUUGCUCGAUGCUCGAGAUAUUCUUGUUCUUAUGAUUGAAAUACGGCUCAAACCCAAUUUUCCUGUUUAUGUCAAAGUAUCAAAGGAUCUCUACAAAGCUGGUAUGAGCCAUUUGGCUGCGGAUCUCAAGAGUAGAUUCUCGAAGCUCAAUUCAGGCUGAGUGUAAAUUGUUGCGCAUACUCAUUUCAAGUUUUGCCAUGUAAUGUUAGUGAAUUUCCAGAUAAAAACAGCAAUGUUUUUCGCCUUCUAGAGAUGUAAAUAUAACCUCACAGCGAGUUUAAUGAGGAAGACAGCAAUUCAUUCUCAAGGAAUAAUACCCGUUUAACAUUUGGAGUUGUCAAUUGUUAUCAUUUUGUUUCCUUUGUGUGUGGCGGGAGUUUUAAGUAGAUGUUCACAGUGGGAAUGGAAUCUCCGAAUUUAGUUCUUCCAAAUACAAGCAACUCUUGUUCGAGGAUUCUAAUUUUCACUUGCAUUGCUUGGGAUAAACAACUGGAGAAGUCUCUCCAGGAAGUGAAAUGAAGGAAGAAGCGCUGCGGGCUGGGUUCACCGUACCUAUCACUAGUGAUUCAAUAUUAAACUCAGCUUUCCAAAAGAUAGUGUGAACUUUGGUUCAGCUCUUAGCUUCACAUCAGAGUUUGGUAUUUCAGUUGGAUUCUAGUGCUGAUUCAGUUGGUAGCAGGUAGAAUUCAAAAAUGCAUGAUGAUGCUAUUAGCCGAUCAGAUUAGGCAUGGCGCUUAGACUUGUUACUUGAUCCAUGUUAAGGGGGUUCUCAUGCGGUCCCAAGUUACCAGUCAAAGAUAUUGCUAAAGAGGUGCAGCAUCUUUCUAGAGAAAUGCAACUUCGUAAAACAUAUACCGAGCCUGCUACCAGAUGGUUCGUUAGGGGUGAGGGGGCUUUGGAAUACUACUCUCAGAUUUCUAAUGGGAAAUCAUAGAACCUGCAAUUUCUAUAACUGCAUUGCCAAUCUUUAAUAGUGAGAUGACAAGUUUUAUUAUGAUACCAUUGAAAUUGAAUGAUAUAUGUUGUGUUGUUUGAGUGGGUACAAGUAUUUGACGAGUUUUAAUGAUAUAUGUUGUGUUGUGUUACCAAGGUUUAUUAAUUGUAGCUAUUCCAGAGAAAUAUGGGAUAUAUCUGACCUUGGAAUAUCUAACCAGAUUCAGAAUAAAGACAUAUAUGUAUGGUUCUCUUCAGUGCUUUGUAAUGUUAUGCAAAGACAAACUUGUUUAUGAUGUGGUUUAUCUGGAAAAGAAGAUGUACCCUGGUUUUCGAGAAUCCUUUUAUUCCGGCAGUUAUGGUGGUCAACCAUAUUAAACAAUACAAGCUUGAUUGAGAAAAGUAUCUCUCUAGUAAGGCUACUAAUAGACACUCUGGCGUUGUCAGAGCGAACAGGAAUCUAACAUGGAGUAAACCUAGUUUUCCUUUUGUGAAGGAAAAUUUUGAUGCUAGCUUCCAUGAUAGUGCAAAUAAAUGUGGUAUUGGACUAAUUAUAUGCAGGUGAAUCUGAGGGCACGGCAAGUUUCCCACUAAUAGCCUGGGAUGAGGAGCAAGCUGAGGCGUUGGGUGCACUACAAGAAAUUAUCUGGGCGAAGGAGAGAAUAUUAGACAUCUGCAGCUGGAGGGUGAUAACAGCAUCAUUUUGUUUCUGUGUCUGUGGGGAGUUUUAAGUAGAUGUUCACAGUGGAAAAGGUAUCUUCAAAUUUUGUAUCUUUUAAACACAAAUAACUCCGGUUCUAGGAUUCCCGUGUCGCUUGCCGCUUGGGAUAAACAACCAGAGAAGUCUCUCCAGAAAAUGAAAUGUAGGAAGAAGUGCUAGUACUAGAUCUCUUCAUUAUUUCCAAUGGUGAUGUUGGCACUGCUGCUCGAUACGGCUCCCCGUAUAUACCUUCAGCUUGUUUCGGAAAUGAUCAAGCUCAAUUUCCUACCAGUAAUCUCUUUGGAUCAGCUGGAGAAGGAAUUUGGGAUAAUGGAGCGUCCUGUGGGAGGGAAUACCUUGUGAGAUGUAUCAGUUCUUCGAAGCAACAAGCGUGUAUUUCGGAUGUUACAAUUCAGAUUAAGAUUGUUGAUCGGGCAAAUACUUCUGUAUCUCAACCAUCGAGUCCAGGAACGACUAUUAUUCUCUCUGAACCUGCCUUUUCCAUGAUAGCUGAUGCAUCUGCUUCGACAGAUAUUAACAUCGACUUCCAGCAGGUCUGACACAGGGGCCGGCCCUGACAUAAAGUGGCCAAAGUUCAAUUUAACUUUGGGCAACAUAUUUUUAGGGCAUCAUUUUUUAUUUUAUUUUUGUCAAAACCUUUUUAAGGGUGUAUUUGUAGAUAAUUGAGAAUCUAUAUAAAUCCAUGGUAUUCAAAAUUUCAAACUAGAAUUAUAUAGUUUUAUACAAGAUGGUAGAUGGUGGUUUUAUAUGUAUUAGAAUGCACUCAUUUUUGGAUGGA